rnacentral:rRNA from 1 species
UUCUCUCGAGAGCGGCGGAUGGGUGAGUAAUACCUAGGAAUCUGCCUGAUAGUGGGGGAUAACGUUCGGAAACGGACGCUAAUACCGCAUACGUCCUACGGGAGAAAGCAGGGGACCUUCGGGCCUUGCGCUAUCAGAUGAGCCUAGGUCGGAUUAGCUAGUUGGUGAGGUAAUGGCUCACCAAGGCUACGAUCCGUAACUGGUCUGAGAGGAUGAUCAGUCACACUGGAACUGAGACACGGUCCAGACUCCUACGGGAGGCAGCAGUGGGGAAUAUUGGACAAUGGGCGAAAGCCUGAUCCAGCCAUGCCGCGUGUGUGAAGAAGGUCUUCGGAUUGUAAAGCACUUUAAGUUGGGAGGAAGGGCAGUUACCUAAUACGUGAUUGUCUUGACGUUACCGACAGAAUAAGCACCGGCUAACUCUGUGCCAGCAGCCGCGGUAAUACAGAGGGUGCAAGCGUUAAUCGGAAUUACUGGGCGUAAAGCGCGCGUAGGUGGUUUGUUAAGUUGAAUGUGAAAUCCCCGGGCUCAACCUGGGAACUGCAUCCAAAACUGGCAAGCUAGAGUAUGGUAGAGGGUAGUGGAAUUUCCUGUGUAGCGGUGAAAUGCGUAGAUAUAGGAAGGAACACCAGUGGCGAAGGCGACUACCUGGACUGAUACUGACACUGAGGUGCGAAAGUGUGGGGAGCAAACAGGAUUAGAUACCCUGGUAGUCCACGCCGUAAACGAUGUCAACUAGCCGUUGGGAGUCUUGAACUCUUAGUGGCGCAGCUAACGCAUUAAGUUGACCGCCUGGGGAGUCGGCCGCAAGGUUAAAAC